ensembl:lincRNA
AUGAGAAAAGAGCUCACAAGAGAAAAAUGGCAGCAUUGCAAGGUGCAAGAACACUGAAGGGAUUAAACAGCAUUCUAGAAAACAAGACAGACCAUGAAGAGUAUGCGAAGAAACAGGAAGGCCUAUUUCCCGGUACCAGACCCAGAAGCUGUAUAAUAGGACAUGAAGGAAGAAGUGUCCAUGGGAAUGAUCUAGAACUCAGCUGAGGGUUUGGUAACUUCUGUGGAGGGCCUCAUCUAUCAUCCAGGCAGACAAAGCUGACUGUAAGUUUACAUCUGUAGACUUAAAUUGAUAGCCGAUAAGAGGUCAUUGAAAAUUGGGAGAGAAGUCAAGA